UAGAGUAGAGGGACGCGGAGAAAGAGGAGCGGAGGGGACGGGAGGAGUUAAGCUGUGGAGGUAUCAGGUAUCUAGCGUAGAGGAGGGAACACAAGAUGCGGAGAGGUGCGACGUUCAUCGUGGAGCGGUCAGCGGAGCUGAGGCUGCGCAUGCGCUACGAUGGGCGUGCAGCGGCCAUCGGAGCUGGGCCAUGCGGGCGCGACGGCGGUCGUGUAGCUGCCAGCGGACCUGGGGCCCCGCGGGCAGGACGGCGGAGGUGCAGCGACCAAUCGGAGCUGGGGCCACUCGGGCGCGACGGCAGACGUGUAGUGGCCAGCCGUUGCGUUGAGGCGACAUCGAACCCAUAGUGUUACUCAGUCGUGUUCAUACCUUUGAAUUGUCGUAAUCGAGCCCUUUCUACGAGGAGUAUCAACUUAUUCAGACCUGACCAUGUGGUCCCAUAACCAUCCGCCUGGAACGGUCUCUUUAGUUCAGUUUAUCGUCUAAAGUCGUCUUUUUCCCAAUGAGUGUUCGGAUUAAACGUUCUACUCCUUGACACCUUUUUCAUACUCAAUCGAUGUUUUCUACCUUUACUACGCCGUUGUUUAUGUGGUUAGAACAAAUGAUGUUUAAAACUACGACUACUAAAGGCUUGAUACUCACUACUUCGACUAUGGUCGUUACUACCACUGUACCCUUUACUAUACGUACUAAAAGUACUACUUAAUUACCCAUUACUUUUAGACCUUUCACUUCUUAGGGUCCUAUCGGUACCGAAACGUCCAUGGAGUUUCUAAUCAUUCGUGUUGUUACGUUGACUUAAUCAACUACUUUUAGACCUUUCACUUCUUCACGUCCCAUUGGUACCGGAACGUCGAUGCAGGUUCUGAUCUGGAGCUUGUCCACUUUUCGCAUCCCAGGCACCCUUUUUAUUUACGUUCCUUCAUCGACUAGAGUACCUCAGGGUUUUUUAAUUUCAGGCUAAAAUGUUAUUAACACGCGAAACGUUUUCAAAACGUGCUGUGAACCCAUCUUAGCAGGCAUUAGGAUCUUAACGGGGCUACUCCCAUUUCCUUACCAGGUUAUAAUGACUACGUCGAGCCUUUGUAUAUAAACUACGUUAAUUCCUGUUCAAGCUUUUAUAACUGUUGUUGUAACGUUAUCUACACAUGUUUGUACUCUAUAAUCUGGUACAGUUCUUUGAAACCUAGUUGACCGCACCUCUGAACGUGGCCGUAAAACACUUUGGGUUGUUCUGAUACGUCCUCCGAUACUUUUUCCAUGGAUUUCUAUAAGGCUUCCUACUGACCCUUACCGAACACUUCCUCGUAAAAAAGUCGUUCCUCAAAGACUUUUUCUCGUUCUCUUUGUGGGUUUUGUCUCGAUUGGAGUUUUACGAAGUGGCUAGACCGUCAUUUGGGAAAUCUGUCUAUUAAACCCUGUACCCUCCUUUCCUUUUGUUCGGUGGCUCAUACCUAUUUGAUAAAAGUCUCUGUGUGUUCUUCCCAUGUCUGAAGGGACUAAGAUGUUGGAGGCGGUUUGUACGUGUUUAAUUCUGGUAUCAAGUCAGCUUAGGACCAGAAAGUUUACUACUUCAGUACGUCUUUACACUGUGUAGAUUCGCCGCACUAGCGCAUCAACCGAAACCACCACCUUAAUCUCGUGGUCUAAACACUCCUGGUCGUAAUUCAUUCCGACUUAAUCAAAGAGUUGAAGUUCGAAGACUCGUUCGCUUUGUUCAUGAGCUUCUUUUCCAGUUACCGUACCGCGUGCUUCAUAGUCUUUAAUUCGCAGAAGAUAGACCAUCUAAAAAUUGACUAUCAAGAGUACUUGCGGUUGUACUAGUUCUGACUACCAGGUGGUUACUUAGUUCGUAUUCCUCCGUAACAUUAGCGACCACUUCUUACUAUAGGUAAGUUUGUUGCUACCACAAGGAGAUAACUUCUGAUUAUUUAUAAUAGAAAAGAUCAACAGAACAAAAGGUAUAUCUAUACUAGUUCAUGUAACCACUAUAUUCCUCAGGAAAACUGAGUUUAAACAAUGUUCUAUAAAAUUAAAGUCUUAACAUACAGUCUUAUAACCAUGAAGAUAAUUAUUUUCUCCG
rnacentral:rRNA from 1 species